CCAACUAGGGAUAAGCAUGUAAGAUGAUAUGGAUGGAUGAAUUUACUGUAUAGUUUUCAAACUACGGUAAAUGUUUAGUUUAAAACUAAAUAUUUAUUUUCCAAAGUAAAUGUUUAAAAAUCCACCUCCACAGUGUCAGCACUUCUGUUUUUCAGUCUGCGCUUCGAUGCGUUGUUGUGAAUGUUAAAGAACCACCCGUGACUCAUGUUCAUGUUCUCAGAAUGAAGAUCUCAACCACGCUCUCACUAAAGGACAACAGAAAUGCCAUCCAAGAUUCAAUAAAAGAAGAACUGAUAACGAACCGAGGCUUUCCGCCAUUCAUAACUGUGCGCCUGCUGAGCGACGGGUCAGUGGUAACAACGCAACAGGCGCCCCCUAGUGGCCAACUUUGAGAAUGAACCAUUUGUGGAAAAGCGCUGGACACGGAACCACUUUAUCUGGACAUUUCAGAACCCGUUACUGACAUUAAACCCGAACUUCAGCGGCUUCAAACAAUAUAGUUACAAUUUAAUAUAUUUUAACUCAUCGGCUUUCACAAUCUGCUAAUGAUUUUUUUCCUCGAAUAUUCCCUCACUUUUAAGUAAUUCUUGGAUCUCUAAAGAAAUAUU